ensembl:snoRNA
UAGCAAGCCUCCAGUGUGCUUGGAUCUGCAGUGACCCUGUUGCAUUUCUACCAUGCUUGUGCUUGCCAGAACAAUUUUGAAAUGGUUUGAGGCCUUGUCUUGCCCUAUCCAGAGCAAGGUUAUAGAAAUUUCAGACAAUU